rnacentral:rRNA from 1 species
UGGGGAAUUUUGGACAAUGGGCGCAAGCCUGAUCCAGCCAUGCCGCGUGCGGGAAGAAGGCCUUCGGGUUGUAAACCGCUUUUGUCAGGGAAGAAAUCCUUUGGGCUAAUACCUCGGAGGGAUGACGGUACCUGAAGAAUAAGCACCGGCUAACUACGUGCCAGCAGCCGCGGUAAUACGUAGGGUGCAAGCGUUAAUCGGAAUUACUGGGCGUAAAGCGUGCGCAGGCGGUCUUGCAAGACAGAUGUGAAAUCCCCGGGCUCAACCUGGGAACUGCAUUUGUGACUGCAAGGCUAGAGUACGGUAGAGGGGGAUGGAAUUCCGCGUGUAGCAGUGAAAUGCGUAGAUAUGCGGAGGAACACCGAUGGCGAAGGCAAUCCCCUGGACCUGUACUGACGCUCAUGCACGAAAGCGUGGGGAGCAAACA